AGUUCCCGUCACCCCCUUCCUGCCCCUCUCUGGUUCUUUUUUCCUUGCCUUUUGUUUUCUCCACCUAGGGUUAAGUUUUUUUCCUAUGGAUCUUUGAGACCUGGUACUGCAAAUCGAUGGGAAAGGAGGCCUUCUCCUCCUCUUGCCCUCUGGGCUGUUGAUUUGAUUCGAUUUUGUUUCUCCGGUGUUGGAUUUUGGUUUGGUCUCCCUCUGUUGUUCUUGCGCAGGAAUUUUUGGUGCUGGUCGCUGGGCUGUUCUUGGUGCAGGGAGCAGUGCAGGUCCAGGCGAUCUGGUCCCUGGCGCAGAGCAAGUCGUCAGCAGCCUGCAGCGGUGCGAGGCAGGGAGGCAAGCAGCACAGGCAUCUGAUCAGCACCAGGCUAAGUAGCAGCUGGACUGGGCGCAGGAGACAGAUGAGCAUAUCCUGGUUCAGCUCCAAACCCAAGGUCUUCAUGAGAAAUCCUAGGGAAGUUCGGUAGAUAAUCACAAGAUCCAUUGGCAGAAGUGGAGCAAGCUGUCACGGUCAAAGGCUGAUGGUGGAAUGUGAUUUCGAGAUAUGACACUUUUCGACAAGGCAGUGCUUGGGAAACAAGGGUGGCGACUCAUGACUCGACCUGAUUCUCUUUGUGCUAGGGUGAUCAAAGGCAAAUCCUACCCGAAUGGUGAGUUCAUGACAGCGACCAGGAAGAGGAAAAGCUCGGAAACAUGGAGAGCGAUGUUGUACAGGCGAGAAGCGUUGCAGAACUGAUCAAGCGAAUUGGGCCAUGGGAUACAGUUAAUAUCUAGAUAGAUAAUUGAGUCGCUGGUCUGGAUUCUUUUAAGCCGACAGUUAGGCUGGAGUCAGCUCGGAUUGAGCGCGUCCAGGAACUCUUUGUGCCAGGUACAAGGGAGUGGGAUGAACAGCUGGUCCGAUCCUCCUUCAUUUAUCGGGAUGCAUUGGAAAUACCUGAAGAUUAAGUCAGGUGUCAGGCUGCAGGAGGAUGUUGAUGUGUGGGCGUUUGAAAGUACUGGUGCUUACUCCGUCCGUUCCUGCUACCGUGCUUUGAAAAAGGAACAGGAGAUGCAAGAAGCACUUGAUGAAGGUGACGCGAGUUCGUCAGAUGAAGCUGGAUGGUGGUAAAAGUUGUGUCAGCUAAAAAUACCGCCAAAGAUCAGAGUCUUCUGGUGGAGGGUGUUGCAUGGAUACCUACCUACAAAGGGUGAACUGAAAAGGAGACAUGUCGCCAGGGAAGAUCACUGUGAGACAUACGGUGCUUAGGGCGAGGACAUGUACCACAUAGCGGUUUUGUGCACCUACGCCAUUCAGUUUUGGCAAGCUGUGCGGGAGAUUAAUGGUUGCAAGCUGCCUCCACUUCACCCAGCGACUUGGACGAGGAACCUACUGGUGCUGAUAUGUGCUCGCAGAAGGAUGCAGCUCUCGUUAUUUGUGGGGUUUUGUCCCUAUGGACAGGGCGGAACGCGAGAAGACAUGGCAGAACACGUUGGAGCCCUGGAGCUGCGGUGAGGCAUGUCGCCGCCAUGGUGGAAGAUCUGAUGUGUCUAGAAGCUAAGGCGGAUAAACCGACAAGGGUGCUGGCCGCUGGAUAUGACUGCAAGAGAACUGGGUUAAGGUGAAUUCUGAUGCGUUCUUCAUGUCAUCCUCUUCGUCCGGGGCGGGGGGCGUCGUGAUCAGAAACUUGGAUGGUCAUCUUCUCUCGGCGGCGGCACGGCGGUAUUUGCAUGUUCCUGACAUUCUAACAUUCUAACGGGGAAGCCUUAGCAACACGCGACGGCUUGGUGCUGGUUGGAGAGCAAGGACAUGAAAAGGUCAUUCUGGAGCUUGACAACCUUCCGUUGGUGAACCUGCUAUGUUCUGAAGAUGGAGGCCGAAGUGUGAUUGCUGGUCUCUGGCGAGAGAUCCGAGAGCUAUGUAGGAUUUUUAAACUUAUGCAUGUAAAUAGGGAAGGCAACGUGGUGGCUCAUAUUUGCGCAA